CGCGAACGCUGGCGGCAGGCUUAACACAUGCAAGUCGAGCGGGCGUAGCAAUACGUCAGCGGCAGACGGGUGAGUAACGCGUGGGAACAUACCUUUUGGUUCGGAACAACACAGGGAAACUUGAGCUAAUACCGGGAUGUGCCCUUCGGGGAAAGGAUUUAUCGCCAUUAGAGCGGCCCGCGUCUGAUUAGCUAGUUGGUGAGGUAAAGGCUCACCAAGGCUUCGAUCAGAGCUGGUCUGAGAGGAUGAUCAGCCACACUGGGACUGAGA
rnacentral:rRNA from 1 species